ensembl:lncRNA
UCUCUCUCUCUCUCUCUUCCCCCCAUUUUUUUAUCCUUUCGAAUGACUGAUUCAGGCUGUUAGAGAUUAGUUCUCCAUCUAUAGGACUCCAUUUAAGGCCAGUACAUGGCUAGAGACAACAGACCAGCAAGAAACAGCAUCAAAAAACGGACCAAUGUUGCCCAUCUUCUCGCAGAAUCGCCUGGCCAGUGAUGCUCGCUUGUUACAGAGAGUCUCCCGACACACUUUCCAGCAAGUCGUCACCGGUCUCAGUCUUAACUAGGAGUGCGCCGUCAAAACAUAUCACCUCCCUCCCUAAGCCUGUCGAAGGAGGGGGUAGGACCCUCACAUCAGGGCAGCUACAAUCCUCUCCGGCCCCCUUCUCGCAGUCUGCAGGAGAGUUUUUAUGCCAGCACACAUACCGAGCGCACUCCAAAACCUACUGAGCCUUAUAUACAGGGCCGAGUUGGGGUGGGAAGAGACAUACGGUGUGCUCCUGGUUCUGGACGAUUCUGUUUACAUUGGCGUGAGUGGGCAAAAAAAUAAGCUGAUUGCAGGCUUUGUGUGCCUGUAUGUGUGCGACGGACUGCUCUUGCCUUAGCCACUAAACUGCAGAGACAAGGUGCUGAUUAUCAGUCCAAUGUGUGCUAAUACUUUUGACCCUAGAGGACCAUGGGUAACGCUGGGUUGUCGAUGCACUGCCGUCCCUUUCUGUGUUAUUUUGGUCUAUUUUAGAGAGGCAGAAAGGUGCUUUUAAAUUAAAUUGACAUUUUAAGUACGGGUCGAACCUUGAUAUUUGGAUUUAGUUUGCCAUCCCACCCUUCUGAAUGCUUUGAACUCUGAGAGGAGGCCCCCUUCGCCUGAUUGUUUUAAUAUUAAAGCUUUUUAACCUCAUUCUGGUGAUCGUAACCAAAUUGGAACAGACAAAUCGAGUGCUUUUUAGAUCUGCAGCUUUUAAACUACUACAAACUACUUUACCCCCUCCCCCACCUCCACUGAAAUAACAUCAGCAAACCAUUUCCACUCUCCGUUUCAGUUCGGUAAGCGUUUGCACACAAAUUUUAAGUAUCGUUGUGAGUCUAAACUCAAGUCUACUCUGAGGCAAGAGCACAUGAAAUGCACUAAUAGGUUAAAAUGUGAAAAACAGAAGGGAAUGAUUCAGUUGGGAAUUUUGUCGGUCAUUUCAGAAGUGAUUCAUGUUAUUGCCACUUUCGCAACUGAGGUGGUUCCAUAUUUGUAGAAUGUAUUAUUGUACAACAUAUGGUAGAGUAAGUACAUAACCAUACAUAUGGGAAGUGCCAAUAAUUGAUAUUUUGCUGUGUUUAGACGUGUUCCUUUUUGUAUUUCAUAUUUUAACUUGAAUUCCUCUUUCAUAAGUGAAGCCAUUUGUGUUAGGAGUGUUGGAGAGGACCAAAGUUGUUUUGGUAAAAAAAAAAAAAAAAUUCAGUUUCCAUGCUCUGUGCUGAUAGACUUUCCUUGUUUUUUUCCCCCCUCGUAUCUUUUCUUUCUUUCUUUUUUUUUAUUAAAAUAAAAAAAGAAAAAGAAAAAAUUCUGAGCAACCCAAGAUAAAGCUGUCUGUAACUUGUGAUUUUUCCUGUCUGUACAUCUCGUGUUCAUUAUUUUUCCUCAUUCUUGGGUAUGUUGUGAUGAACUGCUGUAAAUUUGUACAGUUCAUGUAAAUUGAUUGUGCUGAAGUUGUACAGAUUUCUAUAUUUUGGAAGAAAAGUUUUUUUUUUUUUCUCUGUAAUAAAAGAUUUCCUAUCUUGGCAAUGGUUUCCCGUAGACCUGGUCUUAUUCUUUAUCAAAACAUGCUCAUCCCAGAUAGCACACACAUGUCUGCAAGAUGUCUGCUGUGUACAAACAUCUGUCUGAUAGACGUCUUUAAGAUGUCAGUUUUAUUUACAUUCAUAAACAUCUUAAAGAAAACUUCUAAAGGCCUAUUUGACAUCUGAAAGGAAAUGUCCCAAAGACGUAUUGCAGAUGAGCAAACACUAAAAAAAUACAUCUUGCAGAUGUGAAAUAGACUUCUCCAUGUUCUUUGUGACUUUUUGGAAGAUAUUUACAAUAACACUGGGUGGGACAGUUUUGCUGUUUCAGUAUGGCCAUUUUAGAACAAAUAUGCCAGACUUCAGUUAGUAACAGAGCCCUGAAGUCACUGCUUUUCAGUUUUUUUCUUGUGUUUGGACAAAUAGAGGAAGUCUGCAUGGACGUUAGUAGAGCAUGAUUCUAGUUUGUGAAAAUAUUAGACAUGAACCUGCUUAAAGUUAAUUAUAAAUGCCCAACAUUACUUACAAAAAACAUUAACAGCCAGUCAGAAUCCACCCAACUUUUAAGAGCGUGAGCAUUUAAAGAGGCAGAUGACAUAACUGCAGCUUGUGAAUUGGUCUGGAUGCUAGUAUAUAGUUAGUUAUCUUUCUUUAUUUGCAUUAUGCAUUAUGCAUUGCAUUAUGGUGGUUUAGAGUGUACCUAGCAGAUCAUUACCAUUUUGUCUACAUAAAUGGUGAAAAAUCCAUGUUAAUAUCAGUAAGUUAUGGGGUGCCGCAAGGAUCUGUGUUAGGCCCUCUGUUAUUUUCAAUAUACAUGCUGCCACUUGGCAACAAUUUUAGAAAACAUGGAAUUGGUUUCCACUGCUAUGCCGUUGGUACUCAUAUAUAUUUCAUUCAGUUAUAUAUUUCAUCAUGACCAGAUGAAAACUGGAAAGACUGAGGCAUUACUUAUUGGACCAAAAACCUGCAUACAGAAUCUCUUAGAAUACAUUUUGCAACUAAAAGGAUGUACUGUUACAUCAUCCUCUGCAGUUAAAAUAUAACCUGGGGGUUAUAUUAGAGAACAACUUACCUUUCAAAAAUUAUAUUUCAUGUUACAAAAAUGGCCUUCUUCCACCUCAGAAACAUUGCUAAGCUAUGGAAUAUGUUUUCUAUUUCUUAUGGAGAAAAGCUAGUUCACGCAUUUAUUACCUCUCGACUGGAUUACUGUAAUGCAUUAGUUGUACUGCAUACUCAAUAAACAAGCUACAGUUAGUCCAAAAUGCAGCUGCUGGAGUUUUUACCAGGUCAAAAAAUAUGAUCAUAUUACCCCAAUUGUAUCAUCUCUGCACUGGUUACCCAUUAAGUUCCGUAUUGAUAUCAAAAUAUUGCUACUAACCUAUAAGGCCCUAAAUGGUUUGCUCCUGUAUAUUUAACUUAUCUUCUUAUGCCCUACAAUCCAUCACACUCUUUAAGGUUAUGAGACUUUAAUUAGUACUUAGGAUAUCUAAAUCCAUUUAGAUAAAAA